rnacentral:lncRNA from 10 species
AUACAUUACACACUCCCCUCACACACACAGACCCACACACCCACACUCCCCUCACAUACAUCCACACUCCCCUCACACACACGCAUUACACACUCCCUUCACGUACAUCCACACUCCCCUCACACACACCACACACACACAUUACAUACACUCCCCCCACACACACUCCCCUCACAUACAUCCACACUCCCCUCAAACACACCACACACAAUUACACACUCCCCUCACACACAUCCACACUCCCCUCACACACACACAUUACACACUCCCCCACACAGACCCACACACCCACACUCCCCUCACAUACAUCCACACUCCCCUCACACACACCACACACACAUUACAUACACUCCCCCCACACACAGACCCACACACCCACACUCCCCUCACAUACACUCCCCUCACAC